rnacentral:rRNA from 1 species
CCUACGGGAGGCAGCAGUGAGGAAUAUUGGUCAAUGGGCGCGAGCCUGAACCAGCCAAGUAGCGAGAAGGAUGACUGCCCUACGGGGUGUAAACUUCUUUUAUAAAGGAAUAAAGUGAGGCACGUGUGCCUUUUUGUAUGUACUUUAUGAAUAAGGAUCGGCUAACUCCGUGCCAGCAGCCGCGGUAAUACGGAGGAUCCGAGCGUUAUCCGGAUUUAUUGGGUUUAAAGGGAGCGUAGAUGGGUUGUUAAGUCAGUUGUGAAAGUUUGCGGCUCAACCGUAAAAUUGCAAUUGAUACUGCCAGCCUUGAGUACAGUUGAGGUAGGCGGACUUCGUGGUGUUGCG